CUUGGGGACCACAACUUCUGCCGGAACCCGGACGGCGAGUCCAGCCCCUGGUGUUUCUUCAGACAGACGUCAGGAGCCAUCAGCUGGUCCUACUGCGACUGCCAGCAGGGAGCAGCCCGGCUGGUCGGGGGCACGGCAGGUAAAGGUGGACGGGUGGAGGUUUACCUGAACGGCCAGUGGGGGUCAGUGUGUGAUUCCCACUUGACAGACCGAGAUGCCAGCGUCAUCUGCCGGCAGCUCCAACUCGGGGAGAUCGGGACGGCAUUGCAGCAAUCCUACUUCGGUCCGGGCUCCGGUCUUUUCCACUAUGAGCGUCUGGGCUGCAGCGGAAAUGAGAACUCG